AAGUGGCACGCCCGGGCCCAGCCUCCCCAGCUCCCAGGGCUUCUUUUCAUGAGCAGAAAGUUCUGGGCCUGGGGAGGGGGCCUGGGUACGGUUUUCUCCUGCGGCUUGGUUGGCUGUUUCCUUUUCCAGGACGAGCCUUUGGGGUCUACAUGGGAAAGAGCUGGGAGCUGGGCCAAGGUGUGGGCCUGACACUGCCAGCACAAACAUGGACCAGGUGGCUUCUCUUCAGGCCAGAGGCUGGGGAUCCAGAGAGAUGUGGCCCCUCCCUCGAGGAUCUUUAUGUAAGAACAUACUUCAUCAUGGUCUUGGCGAGAGGAUGAGCUCCCCGUCGUGGGAGGCAGCUCUGGCUUCGCCCUACCACCAGGACCCCUGGCCCGGCCUCUCUCUGGAGCCCUGCUGACUCUGACCGCAGUGACCCAGGGAGCAGUCUUCAUUGGUUUUCCGGAACCCAGGGAGAUUCCCGAAGGCAUCAUCCCUCCCGAUCCUGUGGAUAAGAGCCCUUCCUGGUAGGCGCUCAGCUAAGGACUGGAGCCCUGGAGGAGCACAGCCGGAUGAGAAGGAGGACCGUCAGCCCGCCGUGCCCUCCCCACCUGCCCGGACCCCACCUGCCGGGCCUCACUGAUGGAGCUGAAGGCUGGUUCCUGAUUGGUGCAGACUCGAUUCCUCCUAGCAUCCCUGCCAGCUGCCAGAAGGAGGUCACCUGGGCUCCCAAGGCCUGGUGUCAAAGGACCUUACAGGAUCUGGUGGGAGGUGGUGGUGGGGGCGGGGGAGGCUGCCAGUGGGCAGAAGUAGUGGCUGGAGUCUGUCUGUCUCGGGCCGUUUGCACUAAGUUAUUCUCAUUUUCUUGGGGGCUUUCUGGAUGGGGCUUUCCAUGCUCCGCCCCCCCUGCCCCCAUCAUGGUCAGAUGGAGGAGGCGGUCAGGGCCUGAGAGGAGCCUGGGUCUUCCUCCAGUGCUGCCCAGCUCUGGCAGGGGCAGAUGGACAGGGAGAUGAAUUCCAACAGAUGAGGAGGCCCACGCCAGGGAAACUCACCUGAGAGAGACAGACCCACCCAGCCCGGGAGCUUGUUUCAGCCAUCUAAAGGGAACCGGCUGGAACCAGCCUCACCGAAGGCAUCAGGGGUCCCCAGAGCCCUGAUCUCAGAACCCCCUGCCCCAUCAGAUCCCUGCUCCUUGCUGCAUCACUCCUAGAUCUGUCCCCAGGGAUCUGAGGCAGGCAGGACAGGCCCCAAACACCUGCAGUAUCCCCGAGUCACCUGGCUGCAGAGUCACUCCCACCUGUCCGUUCUCCCACCACUAGUGACAGCCCCCUCCAGAGGGGCAGGUGACUGUGCUUGCACGAGAACAACCAGUGGCCUUCUUUAGGUGAGUUUAAAAGCCCUACAUCAUUUCCCCAGGCUGGGGGAGGGUGGGCACCCCAAACUUGGAAAGCUGCAGCCAUCCUCUCCAUCAGAAUUCCAGCCCACACACGGAGGGAGCUGGAGGAACAGGGGUGGGAAGCUGAAGCAGAGAGGGCAGGUACUGUGCUCAGGUGGACUGGGGGUGCUUUGGUGUCACACGUUGGUGGCUGAAUCCAGUGGCAAGAGGAGGAGCCCCAGGGAGAGGGACAUCCUGGGAAAAGCCCGGGGUUGGAUCAGGUCUCAGGUGGCCACUCUGCUGUGCAACCUUGGGGAAGAUGCUUCACCUCCCUGAGCCUUGAUUUCCUUUCUGUGAAUCGGGAGCCAUAAAGCUCACCUGGUGGGGCUUACGGGAAAUUCAGUGAGAGCAUGUCCCUGGCAUGGUAUCUGACUCUUAGUAGGUGCUCAGUAGACGCUUCCAUCCCUCUGGGUGUUUAGAUUUAGGAUUUAUCUAUCUUAGGAACUCUGGACUUCAAACUCAGCUACUUCUGACCCAGGGGCAUUUCCUCUGCCUGUUUUCCUAAUAACCCUCUCUCAUGAGCUUGGGGGAAGGAGCCCCAUUUCAUGGCCUCCAUAUUAACUCAAAAUGCUUCUUGGGGCAUUUAAAUCCCAUGCCUCUCUCUAGAACUGAGCACCUACUGUGGGCCUUUCUUUGUGCUAGCUACUCAGGGAGAAUAUAGGAGCGGACCAGGUCAUGGUUCAAACAUUCAGGAUUUCAGAGCCACCCUGGGAGAAGUCUUGCUCACACAGAGAAGUGGGGAGUUGGGUGGUGACAUCAGACAAUCUUCUGAGGCUUGGUUCUGGGUGCUUGUGGGGUGGGCAUGAGAACCCAGAGUGGCUUGCAGCAGUCUGGGAGGUUUCCCAGCAAGGCUAGGCUAACCAGUGUCUUGAAGGAUGAGAAAAAUGUGACUUAGCUGAGGGUUUCCAGAGGGAAACUAGAGCAGAAAUUUCCAAAGAAAUGUUAUUCCUAUGAGAUGUUACUGAUCUUUCAGAAAAAAAAAAGUGAGUACAAGUCAGCAGGCCUCUACAGUGCAGGACUUAUCAGAGCCUUUAAAUGCUGAUAGAAUCAUGAAUUGUCAAGGACAAAGCAGAGGAGGAAGUGUUUCCCACAGUUUUCUGGCCACAGAAUCUGUUCUUGUGGACGUCAUUUAAAACCGUGGGAGAUGUGAGGUUUCUGGGGGAAAACUAUCAGAGGGAAGCAGACCAGGAGAUGGAGAGACUUCCAGAAGCCAGGCAAGCUCCAUGCAGUUUUAGUAUCCUGGGGGUGGGCAGGCUGGUGGUUGCAGCAACCAGCACCUGGCAGUGGGCAAUGAAAAAUGCUAGACCUUUGGUGGAAAGAUGCUGGCGUGUGCACACGUGUGUGUGUGUGUGUGUGUGUGUCAGAGAGAGAGAGAGAGAGAGAGAGAGAGAGAAUGGAUUCACCUCCCUUGGAAAGGACUGGCCAGAACCAGGCAGGGGGUCUCCACCUUAGCAGGUUCCACUUCAGGGGAACUGAAGGGUUUUGAGGAAAGGAAGAAAUAGGGGCUCAAAAUGCUUCCAGCAGGAUUCAUGUUGGAUGGAUUUGAUUCCGGUGGGGCUGAGGGGCUUGGAGGCAGACCCCCUGCCCUGCUCAGGCCCGGCCUUGGGGCUGGUGGGGGCUGGGGGCCUUGGGAUCUGCAGCUGGAAGGGGCCGGGGCAGCGUCGCAUGGUGUGAUUAACCUACUAACCCAGGGCUCGGCCAGGACCGCUGAGGCCUGUGACGAGGUGCCUGGCCUUCUGCCAACCGACUAACCCACUAACCAGGCCCGAGCAUGCCCUACUAACCCCUCCGCAGCCAGACCCUACUAACCGCACAGCUCCUGGGCCUUUCAAGGGGCUGGGACGUGUGGGCAGACGAGGCUCCAGAAGGCCCUGCCUGCGGGCUGGGGGGGUCUUUGUGCAGGCCACCUCUGAGGACAGGGCAUGGAAAUAAGACACACCAAGCCUGCCACUUAGUGAUGGGUGACUUUGAGUGCGUCACUUCACCUCUCUGAACUCCAGUUUUCUCAGUGGCAAACGGGAGUGAUAUACUAAUUUCAGAGGCUGCAGUGAGAAUCCCUAUGAGUGUGGAGAUCUUGGCACACGGCAGAUAUGUAAAAUAGGGGUGUGUGGAGGGGGAGGCCCAGAAAACCUGAUCGCUCAUGUCCCCUGUCUAGGUUCUGGUCUCUUGGGUAUUCUGCACACAGACCCUUCUGCCUGGCGGCCAGAAACUCGCUUUGAACCCCUAAACCAUAUCUUCCCCUCCUUCUUCCUCCUUCUCAGCUUUCUUUUCCAUAGGCAGCUCUUUUGUUCAAUGACUAACCUGUCUAACCCAGGGGUGCCUCUCCACCGCGCCCCGGCCACCCCUUAACAGACUAACGGACCUGAGUGUGUUCCUUUUCUCUUAGUGACCCCCCCCCCCCCACCGUGUGUGUCACUGAUGCUGUGCUCUGACGUACUAACCCAGCCCUACUAACCCUGCUUUCUCUUCUUACUAACCCCAGCCCUGCCGAGCUCUGGGCCCUUCUGUGGGCUGCCCCCCCCCCCCCGCCUCCAUCCUUUUGGCAAGCAGACACCCCGGGGAUGGGGCUGGACCUGCAGGCAGACGUCCCACUGUGCUGCCCCAAAUUGGCUGCUUGUGAGUUCAGAGUCCAGUGGGCCAGGUCUGAGGCAGGGGACAGGCUUGUUACCGAUGCCAGUGCCCCAGCGGAGGAGGAAGUGGCCAUGGACACGGGAGGCUGGACCCAGGACAAGGGCAUCUCUCCUUUGUGCACAGGUCUGGUUGCCACCGGGAGUGGGCAGGGCCCAGGAAACCUCUGGGCUGCGUGUGUGGAAGCCUGUGGGUCCAGGGGUGAUGCACUGGGCUUUUUCCAGCCAAGAGUGCCGAGAGAGAAGGGGUCUGUGCGUCCUCCUCUGGAAGGACGUGAGGGCAGAAUUUUUUCCAUUGGAGAGUGGCAGCUCGAGGAGUGAGCCCGCCCCGGAAGUGUGAGGGGGGGUUGCAUCCCAAACAGGAAGUCAAGGAGGUGUGUUCCACACCGGAAGUCAACGAAAGGAGUAAUUUCUACACUCAAAAUCCUUAAGUAGAGCAUUGACUACACAAAGCAUCAGCCAGAGGGUGUAUUUCCCAUAUUAGAAGGCUGGGAAGACAGGCAUCUCUUACACAGGAAGUCAGCUAGAGGGGCCCUUCCCGUACCGGAAGCUGGGGGAGAGGGUUUCCCACACCGGAAGUAGAUGUGGGACAUUUUUCACACCGGAAGUCAUGGAAAAGGGCCUGCUACUCUUCAGUGGGGUUCUCUGAGACGCUAGAGAAUGUUGCCAUAUUGAGAGGGCAGGAGGGCUUAGAGUUUGCAGGAGGAGGAAUCGAGGGGCAGAAAACAAACUGCAGGGGUCCACAGAGCAGCCCCUCGGCCCAGCCAGGAAUUUCACCCACGCCCCUGCCCCAGCCCACUUCCUUCCCCAGAGCCCGCCAGCCGCUAAGCCGGGGCCACACCUGGGGGUGAUCUGCCUCACCUCCAGUAGGCACCUUGGUCUCUCUGAGCUAACCUCUGGCUCCCUUGCACUAACUCUUGCUCUCACCCAGCUAAUCUGUGCCUCGCCCUGGCUGCCCCUGGGGCUGACCACUAACAGCCAGCGCUGCCUACCUGGGGGCUCCAGGCUUCGGGCCUGGCUCUGAUCACCUCUUACUUAACCUGUCCCUCACCUGGACUAACUCCCGCCCUCCUGGUCUGUUCCUUUCAGCGGAAACUAACGGCUUGCGGAUUUCUUUUGGACUAACAACAGGUCUAACACUCCGCGUUACUGUUACUUACCAGCUUGGGUGUCUGCAUGGCUGGGAUGGGGCUAAAAGAUUUGGAACCCGACUAACACAGGGAGAGGUGCAGCAGGAUGUGUGGGAUUUUGUGACAUUGUGAGGCCAGUGAGGGUGUGCUUCUCUAAGGGAGGUGGCAGGGUUGCCAGCUUGGCCCAGGCCAGACAUUUUGUUGUUGUGCCUUCCGAGGUGACAGAAGCACGGUGAGCCUUGCAAGAUUUGGGCCACUGGGCAAAUAUUUUUAACCCAUCAGGAUCUGUAUUUGGGUUUCAGAACUUUUGCAUAAUAGCCUCCUGGCUACAAUAGUCCAAAUGAGUGGCUGUGGCUCUCACAGACAUCCCAACUCCUGCUUGGUGUGUAUGGAGAAACUGCCACUUUGUGUGGUCACCAGGGAGAUGCCAGAGGCCUUGACUUUGGGGACUUUAAAGCAGAAUUUUGAAAAUCCGAGGAUAUAGAGCUUUAGAGCAGAACAUUCAGAAGGGUUAUCCAACCACCAUCCACUUACACCUCGGUGCGAAACAGCUCAGCUUCCUCUCAACACCUCUGCACUUUAGCUGCACUGAGGAGUUGGGAGUUUGACCGGAAGUCAUUUUGGGGUCGGAUGUCUUCAGGGCUGGGGGAGGGUCCUUUGGGAGCAGAGUUAGGGAGGCAUGAGGUUUGUGGGUGGGGGUGAGAGGAGGCGCCAGGCUGAGGUGGGGAUGGGAAGAAGUACCCAUUUUGCUGGCUAUGUCUGGUUAGUGAGGUGUGUGGGAGAGGGCAGCUCAUCAGGGCAGGUCCUGGAGGGUUGGAUCAGUGCAGGGGUAGGGUCAGAGGCCAGCCAGGGGCCGUGUGGGCAGGUUGCUUAGGCCAUUGAAUGCUGGCUUGGGCCCAGAACCCACUCUCUGAUGGCCAUGAGCUCAGAGCUAACCUAGGGGAGCUGGCAGUCAGCCUUGGAGGGUGAUCCCGAGGUCUGAGUUGCAGAGAGGGGCUUGGGGAAGUUCCUGCCCACCACCCUCUAGUGGCUGCCUUGCCCCAUUUCACUCAGAUCAGGAAGCUCCGAGGCACCUCCCCUUCCGGGAACUCUUGAUUCAGCUACCAAGAUUUGAUGCUGCUUCAACCUGCCUUUGUCUAGCGCUGCUCUGGGUGCUGAGACUUAGACACAGCUUUUCUAUCAUGGUGCUUAUAUAGCCUGGGGUGGGUGGAUGACGGGGGCAGAGACUAAACAGGUAAUGCAGUGAGAUCAGUGCUAUGGUGGGGAUGGGCAGGGAGCUGUGGGAGACCCCAGCAGAUGGAUAAGGACAAGAUGCACCUGCUGUGUGCCAGGCACUGUGCUGGGUGAAACAUCAUCCCAUUCAGGAGCUUUAAUUCUCGUGUGUUGGGUGGGCAUGAGGGAUGGGGCAAGGGGGUGC